rnacentral:rRNA from 1 species
GAUGAACGCUAGCGACAGGCUUAACACAUGCAAGUCGAGGGGCAGCAUGAACUUAGCUUGCUAAGUUUGAUGGCGACCGGCGCACGGGUGAGUAACGCGUAUGCAACUUACCUAUCAGAGGAGAAUAGCUCAUCGAAAGAUGAAUUAAUGCUCCAUAAAACAGGGGUCCCGCAUGGGAAUAUUUGUUAGAGAUUCAUCGCUGAUAGAUAGGCAUGCGUUCCAUUAGGCAGUUGGCGGGGUAACGGCCCACCAAACCGACGAUGGAUAGGGGUUCUGAGAGGGAGGUCACCCACAUGGGAAAUGAGACACGGACAAAACUGCGACGGGAGGCAGCAGAGAGGAAUAUAGGUCAAUGGCUGUGAGGCUGAACCAGGUAAUUAGCGUGAAAGAAGAAUGAUCUAUGGUUUGUAAACUUCUUUUAAACAAGAAUAAAGUGGGGAACGCGUUCCAGUUUGUAGGUACCGUAUGGAUAAGCAUCGGCAAACUCCGU